rnacentral:rRNA from 1 species
GGGAUAAGAAGCUUUUGUGUAAAUGUAGGAACAAGGGGAGGCAGCUAUUAAUCCUGGAUAAACGCAGUGACUAGUAAAGAAGUAUACGCGUGUUAAACUGUUCCGUCAGGGGGGGUUAGGAUAGAGAGUGAAAAGCUUAUUAAGAAUCUCGCUAGAAGAAUAGGCCCCGGCUUAUUAGUAUCUCUGAUCUGGGGUACUCCGUAGGCGACCAGGCGUUAAUCGGAGUUGACUGGCGUAAAAAGUCUAGGACAGAUGGGUAGUUUUUCGUGAUAUCCACGGGAUCAACUUAGGAUUUCGGAGGACACUUCAAGGGCUAGAAUCUGGCAGAGUGGAGUAGAAUUUCACGUGUAGCAGUGAAAUGCGUAGAGAUGUGUAGGAACACCGAUUGCGGAAGCCAGCUCCCUGGGUCAAGAUUGAUGCUCAUGCUCGAAAGCGUGUGGAGCAAACAGGAUUAGAUAACCUGGUAGUCCACGCCCUAAAACGAUGUCUACUAGAUGUCAGGUUUUAAUUAACUUGGUAACGCAGCUCACGCGUGAAGUAGACCGCCUGGGGAGUACGGUCGCAAGAUUAAAACUCAAAGGAAUUGACGGGGACCCCGCACAAGCGGUGGAUGAUGUGGAUUAAUUCGAUGCAACGCGAAAAACCUUACCUACCCUUGACAUGUACGGAAGCCACGAGAGAUCGAGGUGUGCUCGAAAGAGAGCCGUAACACAGGUGCUGCAUGGCUGUCGUCAGCUCGUGUCGUGAGAUGUUGGGUUAAGUCCCGCAACGAGCGCAACCCUUGUCAUUAGUUGCUACAUUUAGUUGAGCACUCUAAUGAGACUGCCGGUGACAAACCGGAGGAAGGUGGGGAUGACGUCAAGUCCUCAUGGCCCUUAUGGGUAGGGCUUCACACGUCAUACAAUGGUACAUACAGAGGGCCGCCAACCCGCGAGGGGGAGCUAAUCCCAGAAAGUGUAUCGUAGUCCGGAUCGCAGUCUGCAACUCGACUGCGUGAAGUUGGAAUCGCUAGUAAUCGCGGAUCAGCAUGUCGCGGUGAAUACGUUCCCGGGUCUUGUACACACCGCCCGUCACACCAUGGGAGCGGGUUUUACCAGAAGUAGGUAGCUUAACCGCAAGGAGGGCGCUUAUCACGGUACUACUAAGACAUU